rnacentral:rRNA from 1 species
GAUAAACGCUGGCGGCGUGCCUAAUACAUGCAAGUCGAGCGAACGGAAGAAGCGUCUUCGGACGAAUUGGAAGUGAGCGGCGAACGGGUGAGUAACACGUAGGUAACCUGCCCUUGAGAUAGGGAUAACAGUUGGAAACGACUGCUAAUACCGAAUAGGAACAGAUGAGGCAUCUCAUCGGUUUAAAAAGGUGCUUUCGGGCUUCGCUUGAGGAUGGACCUGCGGCGCAUUAGCUAGUUGGUGGGUAACGGCCUACCAAGGCGACGAUGCGUAGCCGACCUGAGAGGGUGAUCGGCCACACUGGGACUGAGACACGGGCCCAGACUCCUACGGGAGGCAGCAGUAGGGAAUUUUCCACAAUGGACGCAAGUCU